ACUGUCUCAAAAAAAAAAAAAAAAAAGAUAAUAAAUGAGAAAAAUUCCAGAAGCAAGCAAGCAGGGUGAGGGCUAGAGUGAGGGGGUGCUCUGUUAGUUGGGGUUGUCAGAGGAGGCCUCCCCAAGGGGUGGGCAGUGGAGCAGGAGCAGGCCACUCCUUCCUGAAAAUCAGAGGAUUUUAAACCAUGCAUGUCAGAGCUGGGGCUCAGAGGCCUUGAGGUCCCCUGCCUCUGCAGAGGUAGGCUGGACAGUAUCUGAGGACAGCCUGGAGCUGGGGGUUGGGGCUCAGCACUGUCCAAAGCCCUUCCCCUGAGCAGGGGCUCAGGUGCCCGCUGCUGGCAGAGCAAUGGGGAAAGGGUGCUGGCUGGGUGUGGAGAGAGGCUUGUUUCUUGGGCCUCCACUGCAGCCGUGCUCUGGGCUCACAGACUCCAUUUGGGCGUGGGGAACAACAGCCUCCCCCACCCCCAGUUCAGUGUCCUCGGUGCCAAGUGACAGAGAACAGGCAGCUCUUGAAAAGACUAAUAUUUACUCUUCAAACGGGAGCUGGCACAGGCUGUUUCCUGCAACUGGCGUCUGGCUUGCCCUGUGGGAUGGAUGCAACAGGAGGUAUGCGGGAGAUAGGCAGAUGUCCCCUCCUGAGACAAUGUCUGCGGGAUGGGGACAGCAUGUUCCAAGAUCCCAUCCGACACAUCCCGUCUCUGCCUGCACACCUCCCGGGUGGACCAGUCCCUGCCUGUGCAGCCCCCGCUGGACGGCUCCGUGAGAAAGCUCUGAGUGGUGAAGAUCCAUCCACGUUGUGAUGUUACAUCUAAAGCUGAUACUUCCACCUGCUCCGUGGUGCUCCGUGGUGAGCCUGCGCACUUCCCCUGCCCGCCAUGGAUGCACAGGUUGCCUUCCGCCAACACAGACGAUGCUUCAAUGAACAGUCAUCUUCAUACAUGUUCCCUUAAGGAUCUGUGUAAGAAUCCUCCUGGGACAUAUAACCAGUGGUAAAAUUUCCACAUCACGAGGUUCCCUGCUGACGAGGUUUCCCCGGCAACAGAAGUUUGACAUCACGCUCCCAGAACGGGAGAAUGAGAGUGCUCUUUGUUUGGGUCGAGGACGGACCUUGAGGUUUGGCCCAACCACCAGAACCGGCCUCCUUGGAUCCUGGAGUAGACGGAACACCAAUGGGACCGCAGGCGCUGUGCCCAGGAAGUGGGAGGCAGGUC